rnacentral:rRNA from 1 species
GACAGAGGUCCCGAGCGUUAGGCGGAAUCACUGGGCUUAAAGCGUGUGUAGGCGGAUCGUUAAGUACCUUGUGAAAUCCCACGGCUUAACCGUGGAACGGCUUGGUAUACUGGCGGUCUUGAGCCACUUAGGGGCUACCGGAACAAAUGGUGGAGCGGUGAAAUGCGUAGAUAUCAUUUGGAACGCCAAUGGUGAAAACAGGUAGCUGGGAGUGUGCUGACGCUGAGACACGAAAGCCAGGGGAGCAAACGGG